ACCCAUAGAAAUGCCACUAAGACCUUUUC
rnacentral:piRNA from 1 species